UUUCACAACAGUAAUGAAUUCAUUUCGAUUCACUG
rnacentral:sRNA from 1 species